rnacentral:rRNA from 1 species
UACAGAGGGUGCAAGCGUUGCUCGGAAUCAUUGGGCGUAAAGGGCAAGUAGGUGGUCUCAUUUGUCUAGGGUGAAAUCCUUGAGCUUAACUCAAGAAGUGCCCUAGAAACGGUGAGACUCGAGUACUGGAGAGGGUCGUGGAAUUCCCAGUGUAGCGGUGAAAUGCGUAGAUAUCUGGAGGAACACCGGUGGCGAAGGCGGCAUCCUGGACCGGUAUUGACACUGAGGCGCGAAAGCCAGGGGAGCAAACGGG